rnacentral:rRNA from 1 species
AGUGAACGCUGGCGGUAGGCCUAACACAUGCCAGUCGAACGGCAGCACAGUAAGAGCUUGCUCUUACGGGUGGCGAGUGGCGGACGGGUGAGGAAUACAUCGUAAUCUACUUUUUCGUGGGGGAUAACGUAGGGAAACUUACGCUAAUACCUCAUACGACUUACGGCUGAAAGCAGGGGAUCUUCGGACCUUGCCCGAUUGAAUGAGCCGAUGUCGGAUUAGCUAGUUGGCGGGGUAAAGGCCCACCAAGGCGACGAACCGUAGCUGGUCUGCGAGGAUGAUCGGCAACACGGGAAUUGAGACACGGUCCAAACUCCUACGGGAGGAGGAGGAGGGGAAUAUUGGACAAUGGGCGAAAGCUUGAUCCAGCCAGACCGCGUGGGGGAAGAAGGCUUUCGGGUUGUAAAGCCCUUUUGUUGGGAAAGAAAAGCAGCAGGUUAAAAACCCGAUGUUGUGACGGUACCCAAAGAAUAAGCACCGGCUAACUUCGUG